AGUUAGUUAUGCGUUCGCGGGCGCCGCAAGGCGCAUGAGGAAAGUCCGAGCAUCACAGAGCAGGGCGCCGGAGAAAUCCCGGUGAAGGCGACUUCAAGGAAAGUGCAACAGAAAUAAACCGCAGGGCGUUCGCCCUGUAAGGAUGGAAAGGCGAGGUAAGAGCUCACCGUCCGCACGGUAACGCGCGGAGCCAUGUAAACCCCGUCCGAUGCAAGACAGGGAAUCCGCUAUUGGCUGCUCGUCAGGCGGGUUCGGUUUUUGUCGCUUGAGGCGGCCGGAGACGGCCGUCCUAGAUAAAUGAACGCACUCGACAGAACUCGGCUUACAGAUUAACUC
rnacentral:RNase_P_RNA from 1 species